UAGCUGUAGAAUGUGGCCAAACACAAUGGAAUAGGAUGUCACUGUGAAGAGAACAGAAUGCUUAGGUUAGAAGAACUGAAGCCUGACCUGUGAGAUAAGCAGAUAAAGGAUUUGGUGGAACACACUGAGCAGAAUCACUGUCAAAAUAAAGCCUAUGAAGUUCCUAGCAAAGACCAAAAAUAAAGGCUGAGUCAAGGUAUUGUAAAUAGACAUCUGACUAUUAGGCCCAGACUCUGACGCUCAGAGUGGGCAAAACCAGGAGCUGUCACGGAAUGGGCUCUGCGUUGGGGCCCAGUUUCAAGAAGGCCUCAGAACAACUUUGGAAGAUGAAUUGAUCCUGUUGCAUGAGCCUGGAAGCCUUGUUAAGUCACUUGACCUCCAGUCAGGUCAGCGUAUGGUUAGCUACCCGGACACAUCUUUCUACCAGACACUCUGGCCUUCAGAUUCCAGAGGAGCCAGUGGGCAGGGGUGUCUGUUUUUCACUGACAUUUGCAGGGUGGGUACACCUCUAGAGAGAAGGUCACAUCUCUUGCCAGGAAAUGCAGAGUCUGAGCAAUCGAGGGAAAGGCAGAGGUUAGCUCAACUUCAUCUGCCAUGUGGACCCCCAUGCUGAGCUGAAGAGUGUUCUGGUUAGAAGCAGAUUGUGGGUGGCCAAUGCCUUGCCUAUGGAACUAUAUCAUGGUUAAUUCUGGAUCAUCAGGAAAUCUAAUGAAUUUGACCUGAUUCAAUAAUGUCUUUCACUCAGUAAUCUGAUCACUUCUGUUCCAGGAGUAGCCUUCCUCAGUCUGCCCUAAUCUAAUGGUACGAAAACAGGCAUGUUUAAUUUUAGCCUAUUGCAAAAGAAGACCCAGGGCAGUAGACUGCAUCUACCUUAUGCUUGUUUUUGGAAGGAAAUUUACACUGGCCACGGUCAAUACUCAGCGUGUGACAAUGGUCACUGUCAAGGCCUGUAGGCCCACGCUGGAGAGAGCCUGGCACCUCACAAUGCAAUCCAAUCACUCCAGCUUGUCACAUAUUCAGAAGUUCAGAAAGCUCAGCAGUGACAGGUUUAUUUUUCAGAAACGCUGAGCUACAAAUUACUAAUAUAUCAGGCAGCCAGAAUCACUGGGCUGACUGCAGGUCUGAUUACCAUGGGUAACUGACACUAAGCCAUUCUGGGAGAUCCUCUCCCUUAAAUAGUUACAUUUCAGUGCUGCUGAAAUUCCGUGACCAAUCAGAUGCAGACAAUAGGUAGGGGCUUCUGAUUAGCACUCUGAUUUCCAGCUGUGCUCGAAGUGACUCAGGAGAUCAGUGGAAAAGUAGUUCAGUCACCCCAAAAUGAUAGGUUCCUACUCCUUGUUCCAUUCUCUAUCCCUGGAAAGCCACCAUGGCCCUUCCAAGGCAUUGAAUGUGGCACACUGAGAAUUACAGCAGCCCAGUGCUUUUCAAAGCACAACUGCCUGGGUCAAACAAAGAAACAAAAAAUAAGACUCUAAGGUCACUGCAUUGCUCCCCAAGUGCCCUUGAGACUGAAUCACCCUGGACUUCAUAUCAGAUUUCUCCCUGUUCUGGGGCCACCAAACAAUUCUGAUGGUGGUGGCUAUCCUUAUCAAAACAGUAAAUGUCAUUCCCCAACUGCUUAAACUAUGCUUUAUUUAUCAGUGAGGUGGUAGCCUACCUCAGGAUCACUUUUAUAGUAAUUUCCAUGGUCUUACUAUUUAAAGGAAUGUUUCCAGAAGUAUCUACAUCUGAAUUCACCUGUCUACUGCUAUUACCUAGCCAGGGAUAGUAAGAAAGACACUUUUGGUUGGAAUUUCUCUGGUGUCACAAAAUACAUAGGCAUUAUGACUUGUUCUGCCUACCUUGUAACUGCAAAAUUCACACAGUAUUUUUCCACACGGAAUACCCUCUUCUAUAAUGACUACUGCCACCCUCUUUAUUUCACUGCUAAGAUUGAUACCUCAAAGAGGUAUAAGCCACCCCCAAAAAGCUUAGAGGUGACAUUGAUCAAUGUGUCAAAGACUACUAUAGGCCCACUGUACCAAAUAAUAUGGCUAAGUCCUGACACCGGACAGGGGUGGUGGUGUGGGGGGUGUCUUUUAGGUGGGAGAGUUUAUGGUUCUCAGUCCUACAUAUCUGAGCCAAAUUAAAAUUUAAACACUUUCUUGGAUCCAUUCAAGUUUUCAAGAUCACAAACCCCAUUGUGUUCUUCCUAUAUUUAUCUGUUAAGACAUAGCUUUAAAACAUUUUUUUUUUCUUUUGAGUCAGAGUCUCACUCUGUCACCCAGGCUGGAG